UUUACUCCACCAACCCAACGAAUCUUUGCCGCCGUGAAAACUCCAGGCCUAAAGCACCAUGAAGAAUUUUUCGCUAUUUUUGUUGGCCAUCGUUUGCAGUGUUGCGAUAGCUUUCCCGAACAAAAAAGAGGAAAGUGAAAUGAGAGAAUAUUUCCUUGAAGAUGAGUCUGGUAUUGAAGCCGAUGAUGGCUUCAGUUUUCAAGAUGCAAAUGUUGGGGCUGACGAAGGCUUCAGUCUAGUUGCUGAUGCUCGACCGGUGGAGGUUUCGGCCAUGUAAGACGAAAUAUCAAGUCAGGAAGCAGAUGAAGAUUGCUGAGGGGCCAUAAAAGACGACAAUCUAUGGUUUCCUUAUUCUCGAUUUUCAUUGACUAAUUAGGUGCAGGAUAAUGAUUCAAGACUGUAGAGCUAUUCCGGUUUUUGGGCUUAGAUCAGUUAAAUAUACAAAAUUAAAUGUGAAUGUGAUAAAAGAAAAUGAAUAAACAUUGAGUAUAUGUGA